ACCUACUUCGCUGAAGCUUUAGCACGCCGCAUCUACAGGCUCUACCCGAAGAAUCCUCUUCAUCAUUAUCUCUCCGACAUGUUUCAAAUCCAUUUUUAUGAGACCUGCCCUUACCUCAAGUUUGUACACUUCACCGCAAAUCAAGCUCUUUUCGAAGCUUUCAAAAGAAAGAAUUGCGUCCACGUCAUCGAUUUUGGCAUUAACCAAGGGAUGCAGUGGCUAGCGUUGAUGUAGGCAUUCACCUUGCACCCUGGCGAUCCUCCGGCUUUUCGAUUAAACAGAAUCGAACCUCCCGCCACAGAUAACUCUGAUCACCUCCAAUAGAGGUUUCAUUGCGAAUAACCUCACAGAUCUUGACGCUUCGAAGCUACUCGUGUUAGUCGACAUCUCCAUCAUCGCUUUUGCCUGACGCUUCUACUGCCCUUUUUGGCAAGGAUAAACUUGAUGGUCCUCUGUGCAUCAACUAAUGACUUGGUAGCUAUGCUGACUGGGCACGAAACAGUUCCAUUUGGCUGCUUCACGCCUCUGACCGGUCCAUACACAAGAGUGUGCCUAGGGAAUGUGAACGUUUGGAUUCUCGUGGAGCAAGAUAAGUAGCUUGUUCUUCAAGUAAGCAAAUUAUAAAGCCCCAAGAGGGUCCUCCCUCGGGACUGACUGUGUACACUCCUGUUAUAUUCUGGUUUCGUUUGGGGUCCUCCCUUGGAAAUGAACUUUCAUGCAGGAGUGGACCCAUGGGUAUGGAGAAUUAUCUAUAAACCUGGAUCUUAUUGAGAUUUGUUAUUUCACCCCUUUUGGGGACAUCAUUUUAGGUGUUCAGAUUCCUGGUGAGCCCUCACGAGAUAGGGACACGACUCGUGGAUAGAGAGGUUGCGACAGACCAAAUUUGGAGUAGCUGUAGUCUACUGAUUUUGAUGGUUAUUUAUGUGGUUUCAGUAUUUUGUUAUUUUGGGAUCAAGAUGUCUGAUCCAUUCCUUGUAUAUGGCCUGUAUAUGUUUUGUACAUGUCUUUCAGUUUUGAUGCAUGUUCAAUUAAGUAUUCGGGCACAUUUAUAUUAUGAUGUAGUAUUUAGUUAUAUGUUUACAUGUUGGAUUUGCAUGCUGUUAGACAUAGUGGCACAGAGCCAAGUUAUGCAUGCACCCAUG